GGUCAAGCGAACAAGUGCAUGUGGUGGAUGCCUUGGCGAUCACAGGCGAUGAAGGACGCGGUAGCCUGCGAAAAGCUACGGGGAGCUGGCAAACGAGCUUUGAUCCGUAGAUGUCCGAAUGGGGAAACCCGGCCCUUUUGGGUCAUCCUAGACUGAAUACAUAGGUCUAGUGAAGCGAACGCGGUGAACUGAAACAUCUAAGUAACCGCAGGAAAAGAAAUCAACCGAGAUUCCCAAAGUAGUGGCGAGCGAAAUGGGAUGAGCCUUGCACUCUUUAUUUGUAUUGUUAGCCGAACGCUCUGGAAAGUGCGGCCAUAGCAGGUGAUAGCCCUGUAGGCGAAAACAGUAUGAAAGAACUAGGUGUGCGACAAGUAGGGCGGGACACGUGAAAUCCUGUCUGAAGAUGGGGGGACCAUCCUCCAAGGCUAAAUACUCGUGAUCGACCGAUAGUGAACCAGUACCGUGAGGGAAAGGCGAAAAGAACCCCGGGAGGGGAGUGAAAUAGAUCCUGAAACCGCAUGCAUACAAACAGUCGGAGCCUCG
rnacentral:rRNA from 1 species